UAUUUCAAAGUUUUCGUAUGUGAGGUAAUCUUGCUUAUGCUGGCAGUGAAGGCAGUGCGUAUGACCACUUGAUAUGAGAGACACUUCCUGUUUUUAAAGGUAAACUUUAUACUGUAAGCUCCAUUCCCUUUAUAACAGAGUUUUCGUGAGGUAAUCUUUCUUAUGCUGGGAGUGAAGGCAGUGCGUAUGAUCACUUGAUAUGAGAGACACAUCCUGUUUUUAAAGGUGGAUCAUGAGUGAAGCUCUGAAGGUCGGCCAUUGACUUGAUAACAGUGGUUUAUGUUUAUUCAAUUUAUGAAUAAAUCUCUCGCCAACCAUUCACCUAUUUACUGACAAAACAGAUCCAAAUCUUGUUCAGCCUGAUGCUCAACCUUCUAUGAUGAUGACCACUGCAAGGUGAUGGGAAUCUGUGGUUCUCACAGCCUGUGUCUCAAGAUCAACAUGACAACGGCAGUCAUCUCUUAUCUUACUCUUAUCU